rnacentral:rRNA from 1 species
GCCUACGACCAUAUCACCCUGAAUUCGCCCGAUCUCGUCUGUUCUCGGAAGCUAAGCAGGGUCGAUUCUGAUUCGUACUUGAAUGGGAAACUGCCUUGGGAAUACCAGGUGUUGUAGGCU